rnacentral:lncRNA from 1 species
UAACCAAUUUUGCUAUUGUUGGUUUUGAUCUUGUGCUAUAACAAACUUAUUAAUACAUGGUAACAACAAUGUUAGUAGAAUCUGUACUUGCAAAUCACAUUACCUGGUAACAUGAGUUGCAAUGGUGUUUUGUAUUAAUUUGCAUGGGCCCAGAACUAGCAGUAAUGCUAAGGGCUCAGGUGAUUUGCAGCAACGUUCUGUAACCAUGUACAGAAA